ACCUCUCCCUCUCUGUGGAAGAGUGAAAGCAUCGUCUGUGCAGCCAGACAAGAGUUUAGUGACCUUGGAGGAUGUGGCUGUGGACUUCUCAGAGGAGGAAUGGGCUCUGCUGGAUCCAGGCCAAAGGGCCCUGCACAGGGAAGUCAUGGAGGAGAACCACAGGAUUCUAGCCUCUCUGGAGAGCGAGAGCAACAGAGGGGAGAAAGAACAAAGAAGGAUAUCUAAAGGCCAGCUGCAAGGGAGGAAGAAAUCCAUUGCUUCUAAAUGUUCCAAUUUCCAGGAAAUUCCAGUUCAAAAAGAAAGUUACAGAGGAACUGAUGGGAAUAAAUUCCCUGUAUGUACAAAAAUGUCUAUGGAUAAAUCAAGACUUGAUGCUUGUCAAAAAACAGGAAAUGGGAAGCAAGUUGUGAAAUCAUUAGAGUGUCAGGAAAGUUGGAGUCUGAGCAACAAAAUUAUUUUACACGAAAGAGUGGACACAGAUAAAAAGCCACACAAAUGUUCAGUGUGUGGAAAGAGUUUCAGUCGAUACUCAAACCUUACUUCCCAUCAAAGAAUCCACACCGGGGAGAAACCACAUAAAUGUUCAGACUGUGGAAAGAGCUUCAGUUGUAAGCCAAACCUCACUACCCAUCAAAGAAUCCACACUGGAGAGAAACCAUAUAAAUGUUCAGACUGUGGGAAGUGCUUCAUUCAGAAGGUGCAACUCACUUUACAUCAAAGAAUCCACACAGGAGAGAAACCAUAUCAGUGCUCCCAGUGUGGAAAGAGUUUUUAUCGCAGCUCACACUUUCAUUCUCAUCAAAGAAUCCACACUGGGGAGAAACCAUAUCAGUGCUCAGAGUGUGGAAAGAAGUUUCUUCAUAGGGAGAGCCUCACUUACCAUCAAAGAAUCCACACAGGGGAGAAACCAUACAAAUGCUCUGAAUGCGGAAAGUGCUUCACUCAUAAGGAGACCCUCACUUACCAUCAAAGAAGCCACACAGGGGAGAAACCAUAUCAAUGUUCAGAGUGUGAAAAGAGCUUCAAUUGCAUUUCUCAUCUUAAUUACCAUCAAAGAAUUCAUACAGGGGAGAAACCAUAUAAAUGCCUAGAGUGUGGGAAAAGCUUCAGUCAUAGGGAGAGCCUCACUUCCCAUCAAAGAAUCCACACAGGGGAGAAACCAUAUAAAUGCUUAGAGUGUGGAAAAAGCUAUCAUCGCAACUCGCACCUUACAUCUCAUCAAAGAAUCCACACAGGGGAGAAACCAUAUAAAUGCUCAGUGUGUGGAAAGGACUUUGUCUGGAUGUCAGCACUUAAUUCCCAUCAAAGAGUCCACACAGGGGAGAAACCAUAUAAAUGCUCAGAGUGUGAAAAGAGCUUCAGUCAUAACUCAAGCCUUAUAUCACAUCAAAGAAUCCACACAGGAGAGAAGCCAUAUAAAUGUUCACAGUGUGGAAAGGGCUUUCGUAGCAGCGCACAUCUUACAUCGCAUCAAAGAACUCACACAGGAGAGAAACCAUAUAAAUGCUCAGUGUGUGGAAAGAGCUAUCAUCGCAACUCACACCUUACAUCCCAUCAAAGAAUCCACACUGGGGAGAAACCAUAUAAAUGCUCAGUGUGUGUAAAGAGCUUCAGUCAGAAGGACAGCCUCAUUUCCCAUCAAAGAAUCCACACAGGGGAGAAACCAUUUCAAUGUUCAACAUGUGGAAAGAGUUUCCGUCAGAGCUCACACCUGACUUCUCAUCAGAGAAUACACACAGGGGAAAAACCGUACCAAUGUUCAGCUUAUGGAAAGUCCCUUGAGGUCUUUGAGACGCUAACAUUCUUGGCAUGUUCUACAGUUUUGCCAGAAUCAAGUGUCGUACAGUGGUUAGAAUGCUAGACCGGAGCCACCCGGGAUCCUUUCCCUACUCAUCCAAUAAACCUGCAGGUGAACUUGGGUCAAGCCAUCUCUUAGCACAACCUACCUCAUCAGAUUUGUUCCAGGUGAAGGAAAGGGACACAUGCUACUCUGAAGAUCCUGCAAACUGGAGGACCUGGCUUCUUUUAUUGAGUCGAGCCAUCUUGUUUCAGUGGCUGAGAUCCAGCAUUUCUCCCAGAAGAAGUCCUGUGGCCUCGCAGCUCCUGUUCAGACACGGCCAUGCAAAGAGGACGGGGGGGGGGGCAGGGUCUCACCCAGCACCAGACGUCUCCUUGAACUUCACCGGCCGUCUGCAACUACAACGUGACUCUGCUUGGAAAAACACAAGUGAAAUGGAGAGCAAUCUAGGAAUACGUGGAAGACCACAGUCUGCAGCAACAGGCACAGAAUACAGGAUGAAGGUUGUAAAUAAGACGACGUGUGACUCCCCUGAAAUGGCACGGAAUUUGCAUGCAAUAGAGUCCCUAGUGCUGAGAGAAAAUCUGCAACGAGGAUCUUUGUUCAACUAUUAGGUGUUAGAAUGCCUAGGGUGGGGUUGCCAACUCUGGCUUGGAAAAUUCCUGGAGAUUUGAGGGCAGUCCCUGGAGAGGGACUUCCAUUUCUCCUGGACUCUAUGGUAUACUAUGGUGUCAGCCCUCUGGAGCUGCCAUUUACUCCAAGGAAGUUCCAGGAAUAGUCCAGCUCCUGCCUGGGGAUUUGCAACCCUUGCCUAGGGGGAAAACCUGUUAUAAUUUCACUUUAUCUAAAUAUGGGGAAACUAGUCUGCAGCAACAUGCAUGGAAAGCUGUAUGAAGCUUGUAAACUAAUGGCGUUCUGCUUGCCUGAAAUAACAAGGAAUUAAUACACAACAGAGUCCCAAGCAGUGGGAGAAAAUAGCCAGAUAGGAUCUUUGCUCAACAAUUUGCUCCGGGCAAAAACCUCUUGGGAUUUCAUAUUUUCUAAAUAGGGGGUGGGGGAUUGUGCUUUGUGCUACGGAGAGAGAUCAAAAGAUAGCCUUGCUGAAUCUAAUGCCAUGAAACCAUCAACUGUACCUCCACAAAACUGUGUUUUGUAAUAUUUAUAGCAAGGAAAAUUGAGUGGACAAAUAUGUGGGAAAAUUAUACUCCUCUCAAACACAUGAAUGAAUGAAUGAAUGAAUGAAUGAAUGAAUGAAUGAAUGAAUGAAUGAAUGAAUGAAUGAGAGUUGGAAAAUCAGGAUGAUGAUAAUGCGUCAAUUGCCUGUCGAGGAGCAGAAGCCCAGACUCUGAAGUGACGUUCCUGGUCCCCUAGUUUGGGUUUGUUUUUUCUUCUCCUUCUCAGCAGAGACCUGAUUGUGAAAACUCCAGCAUGAGGCAAGCUAUUGAAGGAUGCCUCUGUUUUGGUUCCUGUGGCUUUAUCAGGCAACAGUUACUUUGCUGGACCCUUCUUGUGCAGAAGUGAGGGAGAUGAUGCCAUGAUAUUAGAAUCCUCCCCUGUUGAAUCUCUGCCUGCCAAGCCCUUUUAAUGCCAGAAGUGCACCCAGACUUCCUUCGCUCAUGAUCCCAAAGCCGUCAUGUUCGAUUUCUCUCUAAGUCUUUUCUGUAGGGCUUGGAGCCUUUUGUAAGGGGUACCAGGGGGAGAGGCCCCAGUUCUCUGCCUCUAAGGAACAGCAGCCCCUCUUUUUUUGGAAGCUGCAUUUCCUACACUAGGAGAGGCACCCUCCACAAGAUGGCAACUUUAUUUUAAAGAUGAGAGGUUCUGUUGCUUGCACAGAGAGGCCAUAGUCAGAUGUGUGACUGGAGCUUUGGAAAGUGCCAAGGAAGAAAGGCAGCAGCCCAGUUUCUUCAUUUCUCUCUCUGACCAAGCACAACUCCUGCUUCCUGCUUGUCUAGGAGACCCUCAGCAAUAGGGUUGCCAGGCGGCCUGUUUCAAACCGGACAGUCUGGUAUUUGCUGUCUGAGAAAUCAAUUGAGAAAAGACAUGGCAUACAAAUGUCUGGUAUUUUCUAAUUAAGAUUUCCAAGAAACGGGCAGUUCCAAAGGGACUGAGCUGGGGGAAGCUCAAGGGUUCAAAUGAAAAAGGAGAUGAGAAAAUAAAGGAGCAAAAAAAAAUCCCUCCAGGGCAGGGGUGGGCAAAUUGCGGCCCGCGGGCCACAUGCGGCCCGCUACAGAGUUUUUUGUGGCCUGCCAAGACAGUCAGAAAAAUCUGCCUUGAACCGAGAUUUCCUUCUAAAAUUAAAUGUGCUUGCAGCUAUAGAUGAUAUGAAAUU